GAUGAACGCUAGCGGCAGGCCUAACACAUGCAAGUCGAGGGAGGAGCUUUCGGGCUUCGACCGGCGUACGGGUGCGUAACGCGUAUACAAUCUGCCUUUCACAUAGGGAUAGCCCGAAGAAAUUUGGAUUAAUACCUAAUGGUAUAUAGGAGUGGCAUCACAUUUAUAUUAAAGCUGAGGCGGUGAAAGAUGAGUAUGCGUUCUAUUAGCUAGUUGGAGAGGUAACGGCUCCCCAAGGCGACGAUAGAUAGGGGUUCUGAGAGGGAUAUCCCCCACACUGGUACUGGGAUACGGACCAGACUCCUACGGGAGGCAGCAGUGAGGAAUAUUGGACAAUGGUCGGAAGACUGAUCCAGCCAUGCCGCGUGCAGGAAGACGGCCUUAGGGGUUGUAAACUGCUUUUGCAGGGGAAGAAUAAGGACUACGAGUAGUUUGAUGACGGUACUCUGCGAAUAAGCAUCGGCUAACUCCGUG
rnacentral:rRNA from 1 species